rnacentral:tRNA from 1 species
ACAAAAUGUAGCUUAACUAAAGCCCUUCGCUUACACCGAAGAGAUAUCUGUUUAAACCAGAUCAUUUUGA